AAACCCUACUUAAUUUUGGGGAAACCUUCACGUAUUUUUUUUCCUUCCCGAAAGCGGGAAAACCCUUACACAGGGUCCCAAAAAUGUCUCUGUCGUUCUCUUCUCUCUACCAUGGGCUCAUACAGACUGUUGCCCUUUAAUUCCGGAGAUGUAUUUGAAGAAACCCAUUCUUUAGUUUAGCAAUCUGGGUACCAUGUCGACAUAUCAAAUCUUCUGAGGCAAGGUAAUUUAUUGGUAGUUUCUGCUUUUUAAUUGAAAAGAUAUAAUGGAAACAUCUACGAUAAAAUCCAAGAUUUCCGGAAGUACAAAUGAAGGGAUUGACAGAAUAAGCUAUUUGCCAGAUGAUAUACUCCACACCAUGCUUUCAUCUCUCUGUAUUUUUGAUGUGCAUCAGUUGCGUCUGUUGUCAAGAAGAUGGAAAUACAUAUGGGCUACUAUGCCUAACUUGCACUUUGAUAUUGAUACAUUUUAUUCAGAACGGCCUUAUUGUGAUUACACUACGGUUCAGAAAUUCAAAGACUUUAUCAAUUGGGUCUUAAUUUCCCAAAGCGCCAAUAUUAAACUUGUGCAGUUUCUUCUCUGUUGUGGCAAUAUUUUUGAUAAGUUUGCUAUUUUGCGAUGGAUUCAUUUGACAACAAGGCGAAAUGUUCAAGAGCUUGUAUUGAGCUUUAAUCUUGGUGAGCCGUUUGAGUUACCAUAUAGUCUAGUCACUUGUGAAUCUUUGCAAGUUCUGAAAUUAUACUUAUAUGGUGAUGUACUUAAACUGCCUAGUCAUUUUGGAUUUCAUCAGCUGAAAUUCCUUCAUCUUGAGCGAGUCGAGUUAUCAGACCAGCAUUUGACAAGUUGCUUGUUCUCAAAAUCCCAUCUCCUCGAAACUUUGAUCUUAGUAAAUUUUAGUCUAGGACCCGUGACACUACUUGAUAUUGCUUCAACAUCUCUUAUUUAUGUUGCUUUACGAAAUGGUCAUCAUGAUGUGAAGAGUUGUGGCAAUUGUGAAGUCAAAAUUUGUUGCCCCAAUCUCAAGUUCUUCAAAUAUAAAGCUCCAAUGCCAAAGGAUAUAAUCGUCGAGAAUCUCUUUUCAAUAGAAGCUGUUUCCAUCUUCUGUACUUAUUUAAACAGCUCAUUUGAAGAAAUUGGCAUACUUGUGCAUAAGAUGAUGAAGCAGGUUCCUUCUAUAUCAGCCUUGAAGCUAUGCAUGCCCUCCAUUUCGUUUUCAAAAAACUCUCGUUUGUUUUUUGCUGCUGUAAAGUAUGCAUCAUGCAGCUCGCACAGUAAGACUCUCUCCAGUCUCUUUUUAUAAGCUGAAGUCCUUGAGACUGGACGUGGAAGUUGAUGAAGAGUUAAUGCAAGUUAUGAUAUUAUUGCUCAAGAGUUCUCCUAAUCUGGAAGUUCUUAAAUUGUGGUCCGAUGAGGCGCAAGAGAUCAGGUAAACAGGGAUCAUUAGGAUAAAUUUACCUGGAUUAAUGAGGGGAUAGAUGUUUUAGAUGACCUGAGAUGAGUAAGAUGUUCGGUGGAUGGAUGGCAUGGUUUGAAUAGUAUUUACCACGGUGUGAAACAUGAACAGAUCACGAGAAAUCACUAUUGAAUGAGUGACUCCAAGGGAUAAAAGAAAAUUUUCAAUGAGAAGGAAAUGGUGCAAAUCAUUUUGAUAGUGAAUCUUGUUUGACAUUUUCGCUUCUAAUGGAGGAAAUGGUUGCUUAUGCUGCUGAAUGUUUGCUUAUUGUUAUUUUUUGUUUUUUCAAUAUAAUACUGUGCUCGAGGAAGUGGUUUCUCCUCUGACUCUCAAGUGUCUGCUAGAAUGAUGGAGGCUGGAGUGAGAAUUGGCAGAUGUG